GGGCCCGCACAAGCGGUGGAGUAUGUGGUUUAAUUCGAUGCAACGCGAAGAACCUUACCAGGGUUUGACAUCCUGCGAAUCUCUUGGAAACAGGAGAGUGCCUUCGGGAACGCAGUGACAGGUGGUGCAUGGCUGUCGUCAGCUCGUGUCGUGAGAUGUUGGGUUAAGUCCCGCAACGAGCGCAACCCACGUCUUUAGUUGCCAGCAUUCAGUUGGGCACUCUAGGGGAACUGCCCGUGAUAAGCGGGAGGAAGGUGUGGAUGACGUCAAGUCCUCAUGGCCCUUACGGGUUGGGCUACACACGUGCUACAAUGGCAUCAACAAUGGGUUAAUCCCUAAAAGAUGUCUCAGUUCGGAUUGGGGUCUGCAACUCGACCCCAUGAAGUCGGAAUCGCUAGUAAUCGCGUAAC
rnacentral:rRNA from 1 species